GACAGAGGGUGCGAACGUUGUUCGGAAUUACUGGGCGUAAAGGGCGCGUAGGCGGCACGGCAAGUCAGGAGUGAAAGGCCUGGGCUCAACCGAGGAACUGCUUUUGAGACUGCCGAGCUAGAGUGCGGUAGGGGAGAUCGGAAUUCCUGGUGUAGCGGUGAAAUGCGCAGAUAUCAGGAGGAACACCGGUGGCGAAGGCGGAUCUCUGGGCCGUAACUGACGCUGAGGAGCGAAAGCAUGGGGAGCGAACAGG
rnacentral:rRNA from 1 species